AGCGCCUGGCAAUGGGCAAAGAGACACAUCUUUGGUGGUGUUUUUGUAUCAGUCAGGGGCAGAGUAGGUGGCAGCCCUUUGCUCAUCCUAGCUUGAUGCCUGGCUCGAUGGCCAAAGCUGUCUUAUGUCUAGGACUCAUAA